GAUAUUUCUUUUGUCAACUGCUAUGCACGAAAGGAGAAGGGAAGGCUGGUUCAGAUUGGAAACGUGAGGCAUUGAAGAAAGGAAAGACAUUGGUGGAUUAGUUUGCUUUACUUCGGUUGUUCGGUUGAGGUCUAAUUAAGUACAAAUGGACAUUAGAAGCAUGAUUUGAUGGAAAUUGUAACUCAAGGGAGAAAUAAAAUCACAAGGCGACAAAAAUACACUGCAACAAAACAAAUCGACAUUACGGAAUAAGGACCUACAAUUUUUAUUCCAAAAUAUGGAAUGUAUUGACCAAAACAAUGUAGUCCGCGCCAGGUCCGCGUCACAGACCUGGCCAUGACGAAUCAACAAUGAAGAAAUGAAAUUAUUUCACGAGGCAGUAUGGUCCGUGACAAGUCCGCAUCUCGGACCAUGAAAAUGUGUUGAUAAAAAACCGAAGCGUGAAAUUAUUUGGCGAGGCAGUGUGGUCUGCGACAAGUCCGUGUCGCGGACCUUGGAUAUGGGUAAGCUAAAUUCAUCCCAAAAAUGGGAAAAUGAAAUGUUGUAUUGUAAUGUCCCAAGAUCAAUCCCUCCUUUCUUUUCCCGUUGGUUAGCUGCAUCUAUUCUUUGAAUAUGGAUCCACGUCGCGGACUUCAGUUUGCUUGCUUUACCAACACAUUUUUGGCACUAUAAUUGGCACUUUUGCAUAUUCUAAUAGGAGGACUGCACAUUGUUGGAUGAGAGGGGGAGAAGACGAAAGAAAUUCUAGUUUUGGUGAUAUUUUAUCCUUUCUUUUCAUCUUGAAUUCAAGUUUAUGUUACAAAUGAUUUAUAUAAGUAUGUCACAAACUAUGAAUGGCUAAAUUCUCUUGUUCUUAAGUUGUAGCCAUAAGAUGGAGGUUUAA